AUCCAGCUGGCGAGUGCCAAAUAGGACUAAACGCGCGUCCUGGAU
rfam:Schistosoma rodhaini strain Burundi genome assembly, scaffold: SROB_scaffold0003251